UACGUAGGGGGCAAGCGUUGUCCGGAUUUAUUGGGCGUAAAGAGCGUGUAGGCGGCCUGACAGGUCUGCUGUGAAAACUCGAGGCUCAACCUCGAGAUGUCGGCGGAAACCGUCUGGCUAGAGUCCGGAAGAGGAGAGUGGAAUUCCUGGUGCAGCGGUGAAAUGCGCAGAUAUCAGGAGGAACACCGGUGGCGAAGGCGGAUCUCUGGGCCUGUUCUGACGCUGAGGCGCGAAAGCUAGGGGAGCGAACAGG
rnacentral:rRNA from 1 species